GAUGAACGCUGGCGGCGUGCCUAAUACAUGCAAGUCGAGCGAACGGAUUAAGAGCUUGCUCUUAUGAAGUUAGCGGCGGACGGGUGAGUAACACGUGGGUAACCUGCCCAUAAGACUGGGAUAACUCCGGGAAACCGGGGCUAAUACCGGAUAAUAUUUUGAACUGCAUAGUUCGAAAUUGAAAGGCGGCUUCGGCUGUCACUUAUGGAUGGACCCGCGUCGCAUUAGCUAGUUGGUGAGGUAACGGCUCACCAAGGCAACGAUGCGUAGCCGACCUGAGAGGGUGAUCGGCCACACUGGGACUGAGACACGGCCCAGACUCCUACGGGAGGCAGCAGUAGGGAAUCUUCCGCAAUGGGCGAAAGCCUGACGCAGCGACGCCGCGUGGGUGAUGAAGGCCU
rnacentral:rRNA from 1 species